rnacentral:rRNA from 1 species
GGAGGAAAAGAAACUAACAAGGAUUCCCCUAGUAACUGCGAGUGAAGCGGGAAAAGCUCAAAUUUAAAAUCUGGUGGUCUUUGGCCAUCCGAGUUGUAAUCUAGAGAAGUGUUAUCCGCGCUGGACCGUGUACAAGUCCCCUGGAAUGGGGCGUCAUAGAGGGUGAGAAUCCCGUCUUUGACACGGACUACCAGGGCUUUGUGAUGCACUCUCAAAGAGUCGAGUUGUUUGGGAAUGCAGCUCAAAAUGGGUGGUAAAUUCCAUCUAAAGCUAAAUAUUGGCGAGAGACCGAUAGCGAACAAGUACCGUGAGGGAAAGAUGAAAAGAACUUUGGAAAGAGAGUUAAACAGUACGUGAAAUUGUUGAAAGGGAAACGCUUGAAGUCAGUCGCGUCUGCCAGGGAUCAACCUUACUUUUGUGAGGCGUACUUCCUGGUUGAUGGGUCAGCAUCAGUUUUGGUCGCUGGAUAAAGGUCAGAGAAAUGUGGCACCUUCGGGUGUGUUAUAGUCUUUGAUCAGAUACAGUGGCUGGGACUGAGGAACUCAGCGCCGCAAGGCUGUCUUAGGAUGCUGGCAAAAUGGCUUUAAUCGACCCGUCU